UGGGGAAUAUUGGACAAUGGGCGAAAGCCUGAUCCAGCCAUGCCGCGUGUGUGAAGAAGGUCUUCGGAUUGUAAAGCACUUUAAGUUGGGAGGAAGGGCAGUAAGCGAAUACCUUGCUGUUUUGACGUUACCGACAGAAUAAGCACCGGCUAACUCUGUGCCAGCAGCCGCGGUAAUACAGAGGGUGCAAGCGUUAAUCGGAAUUACUGGGCGUAAAGCGCGCGUAGGUGGUUCGUUAAGUUGAAUGUGAAAGCCCCGGGCUCAACCUGGGAACUGCAUCCAAAACUGGCGAGCUAGAGUAGGGCAGAGGGUGGUGGAAUUUCCUGUGUAGCGGAGAAAUGCGUAGAUAUAGGAAGGAACGCCAGUGGCGAAGGCGACCACCUGGGCUCAUACUGACACUGAGGUGCGAAAGCGUGGGGAGCAAACAGG
rnacentral:rRNA from 1 species